rnacentral:rRNA from 1 species
GACGAACGCUGGCGGCGUGCUUAACACAUGCAAGUCGCACGAAGUGGCGAACGGGUGAGUAACGCGUAAUCAACCUGCUCUUCAGAGGGGGAUAACAGUUGGAAACGACUGCUAAUACCGCAUACUGAAGGAGGGGAUUGCGUCUGAUUAGCUAGUUGGAGGGGUAACGGCCCACCAAGGCGAUGAUCAGUAGCAGGUCUGAGAGGAUGAACGGACACAUUGGGACUGAGAAACGGCUCAGAGGCCUACGGGAGGCAGCAGGGGGGAAUCUUCCGAAAUGGACGAAAGGCUGACGGAGCAAAGCCGCGGGAGGGAUGACGGCCGUCGGGUUGUAAAGCUCUGUUAAGCGGGACGCGGUAUCUAACCAGAAAGCCACGGCUAACUACGUGCCAGCAGCCGCGGUAAUUC